UCCGACACCACAGCCCCUCUCCCUUAUCCCAUCACCUUCCACCCCAAAACUCUCUGCUUCACCUUCACACUAAGCCGCCGCCGCCGCCGCAGGAGCCGCAGCGAGCCUUGCUGCUCCUCUCCUCCGUCUUCUUCAGUUCGUCUCCAUCUCUGAAUCCCCUAACCACAAGCUUCAGCCUCCAAUAUCCAGAAAUAGGCAACUGGUAGUGUGAGGAGAAUCCAAUUGAAGGCCACUGGUAGUGGAAAGAUGAGAUAUAUGUGCCAUGUGCCUUGCAGGUUCGAACGGUUUCAAUUUUAAUUGUGUUGCUCUAUUUGUUCUUCUUAAUUUGUUUGUAUUGGUUUGAGUUUUACGUUUUAUUGGGUUUUCUGAGAAUCUGAACAGGUAUUGAAGCGGCACAAUGGAAGAAGGGAGCAGCAGCAACUGCUCAGUAUUCCAAAUAGUCAUUUUAAUCAUCAUUUGGACUACCCAAUUAUAGUUGUACAAGGAAAUUUUAUUGAGUGCUAUGUUAUACUAGUUGCUGACUCAAAUCUAUAUUCUGAAUUCUAAAAUUAAUUGAGUGCUAUGUUAUACUAA